GUAUGCUUUCUUUUGUUUCACUCCAUCCCGGAGUGCACUCUAUUAUUUUGAUGGUGAGAUAGCAGCCAACAACCCCACAUUUGCAUCCUCACAGCUUCAAGUCCAGUGGAAAGAUGUGACUUUUCCGGAUAGUUCCAACAAAAUUCCUGGGCCUAAAUUGGGUCACACACUCACCCCGAACCAAUCCCUGAAUGUGAUGAUUGGGCUUAAGCCUGGGGAGAUGCAAAGACAUUCCUGGAGCUGAGGAUGUGGAUGCCUCUACCCAAACCACAUGGUUAGAGGGGGAAGAGGGGACCGAGCUGAAGAAGCCCCCGUCUUCCAGCGCAUGUUAUUCCCAUGACAGAUGCUAAAAGUUCAAGGGGAGAGCUACAAGAAGUGCGUUUUCCUGUGGCUACUUUCAUGUCUGGAUGCAAUGCCUAGACCUGCAUCCAUCUUGCGACCAACCUGAAGAUGAACAGAAAGGAAGGAAGGAUGGCCCAAUAGCCUGGGAAGAACUGGUGUUCCUGAUACCAUCAUUAACCACAGAAUCUACAAUCCCGGAACCCCCCAUCCUUAACCAUGGAAUCUACAAUCCUAUCUCUAGACCCUUUGUCCAGAUGCUACAGUUUCUUUGUUCAAUCUAGUUUGUGUCAGGAUUUCUGUUCAUUACAUCAAAAGUAUUCUAAUACUUGUAGCAAAGCAACUGGAGAAGUUUUCACUUUGUCUUUAACCAAAGAAGACUUCCAGGAAACAUCUCCUCAGUGGGUUUCUCCCUCACCACUGGAUUUUUAUCUCUGUACUAGUGCUUUGAUUUGUUUUAGGAGUCUCACCUCUCCACCUGUCAUAUUUCCCUGGCAGGCUCAUUUCUGCUAAUGCCCACAAUAUGUGUAUCAAUGAGCUUUCAACGUUAGGUACACAGCUCUUCAGGCAUGUAUAGCACAUUAAUCUGUCUGCUUCUAAGUGGUCUGUUGACAUGUUUGGGUGCCAGUUAUAUCUACAAGGCUGUGAUCAUUGUCCUGGGUUAUUCUGUUUGUUCUCUCUGCAGGAUGCAUUAGGACACCCAAGGCCAUGGCCAUCACUUACAUCUAGGAUUCAAUCUUAUCUCCUGUGAAUCACUGGAAACCUCCUGUCCUGGAACCCUUUUUUUCCACAUCCCACUGGAUGUCAUUCAUAGCAACUGGUCUUGUGGGUUGUCUAUUUUAUUGUGUUGUCUUACUCUUCCUCCUGGUAUCAGUUUUUAAAUCCUCUUGAUGAGAUCAGCUGAUCAGUCGCUAAGCAACAUAGUCCCCCAUGUCUUUGUAAGAUUCUCUGCACUCAUGGCUAGAAUGAUUUAUUCUGGUAUCUUAAGCUGUGUUUCAGAACCUCAUUCUAAAUAUCAACCUAUUCUUGUAAGUCCACUACUGAUCAUCUUUAGAUAUUCUUCAGUCUUCCAGAGUUCCAAAGGGCAGUAGGAAGAAGCAAUGAAAAUACCACCUGUAUUCUCACAUCUUUCAUUGUUCCACUCAAAAAAUACCACCAUGUUCACUUCUGGUGGAACGUUUAUGUCCAUGAGAAGCAGUGGCUUUGAAGAGUUUUGGCAGACUAUGGCGCCUUACUCAACAUUGGGAAGGUAUCUUGCCAUCAGACCUUUUGGGUCUCCAUGAAACUUCUUAUACCCCCUCUGGGAAAAGUCACUAACUGUGAUCUUACUGAGCUUCUAAACACAGCAUUUUUUUUACACUUAAGUGAGCGGGGGUCCUCCUCAUUUGUGCUUCUCUUCUUGUAAGGGUGACUUCCUCCCAGUAGGAUGAAUCUCAUGCCUAUUUGUGUUAUUUUGCUAAUUCCAGCUUCUUUUCUACUCAGGGGGGUUCCAACUCUUUUAAGGUCUCAUCUUCAGCACUUCUAAACUGUGGGAAACUAUGUGAAAACAAAUGGAGUGGCCAAACACACCAUUCAUCACUGUGCUUCUGGACAGCUGCAAGUCCAUACGUGUUCUGAUGAAGUCUGGCUCUGUUGCCCAGGCUGGAGUGCAAUGGCACAGUCUCGGCUCACUGCAACCUCUGCCUCCUGGGUUCAUGCAAUUCUCCUGCCUCAGCUUCCCAAGUAGCUGGGAUUACAGACAUGCACCACCAUGCCCAGCUAAUUUUUGUAUUUUUAGUACAAACAGGGUUUCACUAUGUUAGUCGGGCUGAUCUUGAACUCCUGACCUCAAGUGAUCCACUCCCCGCAGCCUCCCAAAGUGCUGGGAUUACAGGCGUGAGCCACUGCGCCCGGCCUUUCAGCUGAUUUUCUAAUCAAGAAGUUAUAUCAGUCUUUGUCUGCAGUUGCUCAAAGACUCUCUUUUAAAGUGCAGAGACUAUCCACCUCAGCUAUAGCACAGGGCUCAGCACUGUAUUUCCAGUUAUGGAAUACAGUUAUUUCAUAUAUGUUAUAUUAUUCUUAAUUCUGUCCCUAGUUCCUGCUACUGAGGAAGUCCAUACUCAGCAGGACAGUCUCCUGGUCUGCCAUGAAUUCAAACACAAUCUGUAAAGACAGUGAAGGAAGCUACAUCUGUGCAUGGGGGCUUUAGAGAAUUAUUGGCUUGAAGCAAUAAGAGGAACAUCUGGGCUGAGUAGUCCUCGAAGACUCUCAUGUGAUUCAAAAGUCCUUUUCUUCCUUAUUAUUUCCUAUCUUGCUCUCAAGCAUCUCCUCUGGCAGCAGCAACUGGAACUAAAAGUGAUUUCUCUAUAACAGCGAGCAAGUUUCUCAUGGCCUUUGCUAUUAACUCUUUCAUGCCUGCUGACCUGCAAAAGAAUCAGGAGGGCUGGUGCUGGAGCAGAUGGCGCACUGUGAGUGAUGGUUUAGAUUCUGCCUGGACUCAAACCAUUUGGUUGAUGGCGGGAACCUUGAUUUUCCCCCUUCUUAUCCUGAGAGUGUAGGGUUUCUCUGAAUUAUUAUUUCUUUCUUUGCAAGGAUCCCUGGAUCCUCAUUCCUGAUAUAAGACUAGUUCUAGAUAAUUCAAUACAAGAAAGAAGAUUUGCUUGGGAAGGUAGAUGGGGCAAAGCAUUACCUUGUGUAAAACUGCUGCUAAAAUAUAUUCCUAGUGAGAAAGGUCAACUUGUGGGCUAAAGUCCUUGUCACCUCCUGAUCAGUUUUCACUUAGGGCACAGCAGUCUGCCAUUCACCAUUGGGAUCUCUGUGUGUUUCUUCUCUCUUAUGAAAGGACAUAUUGAGCGCUCUAGGACUUGGCUGCCUACAUCAAGUAGAGGGGGACCCUCAUGAUUCACUAAGGGGCCUCAGUUCUGAAUAUUUCUCAUUAUUCAAAAAUGCAAAGCCAUUGUCAUUACGUGGCAGUUUAUUGGAACCAAGGGAGGAAUUGGUCCCUUUUCAUGUUCUUCUCCUAAAUAGAGAAAAGGUAAUUAAAACUUGGAGCUUAAUAAGGGCCAUCUCUAUUUGAACAGCCUAAUACAAAUCCAUUCUCAAUACCUUUUUACACCUUGUCUGAACUGACUUCUACUGUGUACUCCACUGCAUGGGAAUUCUGGAACUUUAGAACGAAGGGAACUCAAUUCAUUCUAUAUAUAUCUCAUUCAUUCAUUUUUUUUUCAUUUGUUCACCAAAUGCUAACUCAAUACCUACGUAACAGAGAUAAUGUUCUUAUUGUCUGUAAAUCAGAAAAUGCAUGCAUUGAAUAAACGCCAUAUAUUCUUGGAAGCUGAGGGCUGAUAACUCAAGGUAAAUGAUCAGCUAGUCUCCUAUGAAAUAAGUAUCUUAUUUCAUGUUACAUGUAGAAAUGACCAUGCAACUUUAUCUUAAAGCCAGGCCUUAUUGAGAAAAAGGGGAUCCAAAUUCCAAAUGUUUCCUUACAUGCUGAGAGGAAACCUUGGAGGUCUGAGCGUGAGUCAUAGGUAGAGGGAAAUCAUGCUAAGAUAUAUAUUGUUUCCACCAGACAGGUAGAGGAAGCAGAGACCCUUUGGCAGAAGAGAUACAGAGAAGAGAGGAGGAGAGGUUCUGGCUUUACCGUUCAGGCUUGAAACCCCAAGUUUAGAUGGAUUGAGGGGGAAGCUUAAGGCAAACAUGACCCCUGGGCCAACACAGGCUAGAGGAACAAUGUAGAAAUGACCAUGUAACUUUAUAGGCAUGAAGAAGAUGCCUGUGAUGGCACUGAGUCUCCUGUGGCUCCCUUGUGUGCCCAAAUGCCUGAAGGAUGUGAGAGUAUUGGUUGUUAGAAUUUCAGGGAAUUCCACCAAGUGGGGAAUGACUCUGUAUUAAGGGCUGCAAAGAAAAGCUCCCAGGCCAAGCAUUGAGUGGGAGGUGCUACCUGCCCUCAGGGAUCCACAGGGACUUCAACAGCUGAUGUGGGGUCUCAUCAGCCUCAAGGUGGCCAAGUUUCUAUGCUGAGACUAUAGCCCACAGUUACACCAGCCAUGAUCCUCAGCAGCAGAGGUAGUGAUGAUGAAGUCUGAUGCCCAAAGACAAGCAGAACAAUAUGCACAGUUCCAGCCAAUGCCACGAGGUAGCCUUUGUACUUCCCUAUACCUAGCUGGGAGGGAGGAAGGAAGGAGAGAGGAGACUCCUAGGAAGAGGAGAAAAUAAUUAUCCCAAAGAGACUGACAUAACCUGGAAAAGACCGAGAACUACUAAUUAGCAAGAUAAAGUUCAUUUACCUCUUCCUGUUUCUUACCAAGAUGGUAUGUAUCCUUUCAGAUAAUAAAUAAAUUUAUGUUUUCUUGCCCUAUUUUAAUGUGAUUUAAAUGUUUCUUGUUUUUUCUGUUUUCAUUCAUAACAAAAAUUUUGUUCUCAGAGACACUGAGACAUGAGACACGAUGCUGGACUAUAUUGGGGGGGAGCACCUCAUCAUAUGGGCAAGAUAUUGCAGCAGCAUGUAGCCCUCCACGUCCUGACUGCUCACUUCUCUUUCGCCAUCCCCUAACACACGUAUUAGGCUUUUGCUAUGUUCAUUUAUCUAGCCCAUAAGCCACUCCUUCAGAGGGCAAUGCAUGGAAUUGGCAGCCUUGGUUCCCCACCAACUGACAGGGGUCUGGAAUUCAGGUGUUUCCAAAGACCUGCAGUCUUGGGGGCCUUAAUGCUUGCUGAGUAGCAGCACUUUCUAGGACUUUCCCUAUUGUACGUUUCAGUCCAUGCUUUUCUUUUUGUCUUGUCUCAGUGUUCUUCCCUGCUAGUCUGGUUCUCAACAAGACCCAAGCCCUGCAACACACCCAAAUCCCCUUGAUGGGAACCUGAUUUCCUACGUGGCUUUUCCCAGUCACCCCAUGCUCUCCCCACUCCCAUCUUUCCUGGUGAAUUGCUCCUUUCCUAAAUCUGUUGUGAAUAACAAUUUGGCCACAGUGCUAAAGCCUCUCACUCCUCACUUUAAAUUCCUUUGGGAAACAGUCAUUCAUGUUCAUUUUAGACAAUUUCCCUGUCCUGUGCGGACUCUUCUCAAGAAGUCUACUCCCAAAACUCCUGCUGAGGUAGGUCCAGGUCA
rnacentral:lncRNA from 1 species